rfam:Nipponia nippon contig40004, whole genome shotgun sequence.
CUAGGAGAACCGAAAACAGUUCUGGACUGACCUGCGGUUUUAUAGCACUUUGGCAGUCAACUUCAGCUUGUGUCAGAGCAGACACGACAGAGCUGCCCAGCGCUUAAUCGCGGGACGCCACCUCCUCGGACUCGCGAGCCGCGUGCAGGGCCCCCCCCCCCCCCAUCCCUUCCAUUUCAAUAAAUUUCAAACCUUGGGGCUAGAAAUGGGGAGCAGAGCUG